rfam:Pteropus alecto contig7767, whole genome shotgun sequence.
GUCUAUGGCCAUGCUACUCUGAACAAGCCUGAUCCCAUCUGAUCUUGGAAGCUAAGCAGGGUUGGGCCUGGUUAGUACUUGGAUGGGAAACUACCUAGGAAGACUAGGUGCUGUAGGUA